GACGAACGCUGGCGGCGUGCCUAAUACAUGCAAGUUGAGCGCUGACGGUUGGUACUUGUACCAACUGGUUGAGCAGCGAACGGGUGAGUAACGCGUGGGGAAUCUGCCUUUGAGCGGGGGACAACAUUUGGAAACGAAUGCUAAUACCGCAUAAAAACUUUAAACACAAGUUUUAAGUUUGAAAGAUGCAAUUGCAUCACUCAAAGAUGAUCCCGCGUUGUAUUAGCUAGUUGGUGAGGUAAAGGCUCACCAAGGCGAUGAUACAUAGCCGACCUGGGAGGGUGAUCGGCCACAUUGGGACUGAGACACGGCCCAAACUCCUACGGGAGGCAGCAGUAGGGGAUCUUCGGCAAUGGACGAAAGUCUGACCGAGCAACGCCGCGUGAGUGAAGAAGGUUUUCGGAUCGUAAAACUCUGUUGGUAGAGAAGAACGUUGGUGAGAGUGGAAAGCUCAUCAAGUGACGGUAACUACCCAGAAAGGGACGGCUAACUACGUG
rnacentral:rRNA from 1 species